AGGCAGCAGUAGGGAAUAUUGGUCAAUGGAGGCAACUCUGAACCAGCCAUGCCGCGUGUAGGAAGAAGGCGUUCUGCGUUGUAAACUACUUUUGAUUGGGAACAAAUGACUCUUGCGAGAGUAGCUGAGUGUACCAAUAGAAUAAGCCACGGCUAACUACGUGCCAGCAGCCGCGGUAAUACGUAGGUGGCAAGCGUUGUCCGGAUUUAUUGGGUUUAAAGGGUGCGUAGGCGGCUUUUUAAGUCAGUGGUGAAAGCCGAUCGCUUAACGAUCGAACUGCCAUUGAUACUGAGAGGCUUGAGUAUAGUUGAGGUAGGCGGAAUUGACAGUGUAGCGGUGAAAUGCAUAGAUAUUGUCAAGAACACCAAUUGCGAAGGCAGCUUACUAAAGUAUAACUGACGCUGAGGCACGAAAGUGCGGGGAUCAAACAGGAUUAGAUACCCUGGUAG
rnacentral:rRNA from 1 species